GGGUUGUGAGGUUAAGCGACUAAGCGUACACGGUGGAUGCCCUGGCAGUCAGAGGCGAUGAAGGACGUGCUAAUCUGCGAUAAGCGCCGGUAAGGUGAUAUGAACCGUUAUAACCGGCGAUUUCCGAAUGGGGAAACCCAGUGUGACUCGUCACACUAUCAUUAACUGAAUCCAUAGGUUAAUGAGGCGAACCGGGGGAACUGAAACAUCUAAGUACCCCGAGGAAAAGAAAUCAACCGAGAUUCCCCCAGUAGCGGCGAGCGAACGGGGAGGAGCCCAGAGCCUGAAUCAGCAUGUGUGUUAGUGGAAGCGUCUGGAAAGGCGCGCGAUACAGGGUGACAGCCCCGUACACAAAAGCGCAUGUGCUGUGAGCUCGAUGAGUAGGGCGGGACACGUGGUAUCCUGUCUGAAUAUGGGGGGACCAUCCUCCAAGGCUAAAUACUCCUGACUGACCGAUAGUGAACCAGUACCGUGAGGGAAAGGCGAAAAGAACCCCGGCGAGGGGAGUGAAAAAGAACCUGAAACCGUGUACGUACAAGCAGUGGGAGCACAGGUUUACCUGUGUGACUGCGUACCUUUUGUAUAAUGGGUCAGCGACUUAUAUUCUGUAGCAAGGUUAACCGCAUAGGGGAGCCGCAGGGAAACCGAGUCUUAACCGGGCGUUAAGUUGCAGGGUAUAGACCCGAAACCCGGUGAUCUAGCCAUGGGCAGGUUGAAGGUUGGGUAACACUAACUGGAGGACCGAACCGACUAAUGUUGAAAAAUUAGCGGAUGACCUGUGGCUGGGGGUGAAAGGCCAAUCAAACCGGGAGAUAGCUGGUUCUCCCCGAAAGCUAUUUAGGUAGCGCCUCGUGAAUUCAUCUCCGGGGGUAGAGCACUGUUUCGGCUAGGGGGCCAUCCCGGCUUACCAACCCGAUGCAAACUGCGAAUACCGGAGAAUGUUAUCACGGGAGACACACGGCGGGUGCUAACGUCCGUCGUGAAGAGGGAAACAACCCAGACCGCCAGCUAAGGUCCCAAAGUCAUGGUUAAGUGGGAAACGAUGUGGGAAGGCCCAGACAGCCAGGAUGUUGGCUUAGAAGCAGCCAUCAUUUAAAGAAAGCGUAAUAGCUCACUGGUCGAGUCGGCCUGCGCGGAAGAUGUAACGGGGCUAAACCAUGCACCGAAGCUGCGGCAGCGAACGUAUCACCCAAGACAACUUUGCGGAGUUGACGAUUGACGGAGCGAAGCGACGUCAAAGCGUUCAUUAAAGUCGAGUUGGCUUAGGGAUACGUUCGUUGGGUAGGGGAGCGUUCUGUAAGCCUGUGAAGGUGUGCUGUGAGGCAUGCUGGAGGUAUCAGAAGUGCGAAUGCUGACAUAAGUAACGAUAAAGCGGGUGAAAAGCCCGCUCGCCGGAAGACCAAGGGUUCCUGUCCAACGUUAAUCGGGGCAGGGUGAGUCGACCCCUAAGGCGAGGCCGAAAGGCGUAGUCGAUGGGAAACGGGUUAAUAUUCCCGUACUUGGUGUUACUGCGAAGGGGGGACGGAGAAGGCUAUGUUGGCCGGGCGACGGUUGUCCCGGUUUAAGCGUGUAGGUGUGUGUUCCAGGUAAAUCCGGUUCACUUUAACACUGAGGCGUGACGACGAGGCACUACGGUGCUGAAGCAACAAAUGCCCUGCUUCCAGGAAAAGCCUCUAAGCAUCAGGUAACAUCAAAUCGUACCCCAAACCGACACAGGUGGUCAGGUAGAGAAUACCAAGGCGCUUGAGAGAACUCGGGUGAAGGAACUAGGCAAAAUGGUGCCGUAACUUCGGGAGAAGGCACGCUGACAUGUAGGUGAAGUGAUUUACUCAUGGAGCUGAAGUCAGUCGAAGAUACCAGCUGGCUGCAACUGUUUAUUAAAAACACAGCACUGUGCAAACACGAAAGUGGACGUAUACGGUGUGACGCCUGCCCGGUGCCGGAAGGUUAAUUGAUGGGGUCAGCGCAAGCGAAGCUCCUGAUCGAAGCCCCGGUAAACGGCGGCCGUAACUAUAACGGUCCUAAGGUAGCGAAAUUCCUUGUCGGGUAAGUUCCGACCUGCACGAAUGGCGUAAUGAUGGCCAGGCUGUCUCCACCCGAGACUCAGUGAAAUUGAACUCGCUGUGAAGAUGCAGUGUACCCGCGGCAAGACGGAAAGACCCCGUGAACCUUUACUAUAGCUUGACACUGAACAUUGAGCCUUGAUGUGUAGGAUAGGUGGGAGGCUUUGAAGCGUGGACGCCAGUCUGCGUGGAGCCGACCUUGAAAUACCACCCUUUAAUGUUUGAUGUUCUAACGUGGACCCGUGAUCCGGGUUGCGGACAGUGUCUGGUGGGUAGUUUGACUGGGGCGGUCUCCUCCUAAAGAGUAACGGAGGAGCACGAAGGUUGGCUAAUCCUGGUCGGACAUCAGGAGGUUAGUGCAAUGGCAUAAGCCAGCUUGACUGCGAGCGUGACGGCGCGAGCAGGUGCGAAAGCAGGUCAUAGUGAUCCGGUGGUUCUGAAUGGAAGGGCCAUCGCUCAACGGAUAAAAGGUACUCCGGGGAUAACAGGCUGAUACCGCCCAAGAGUUCAUAUCGACGGCGGUGUUUGGCACCUCGAUGUCGGCUCAUCACAUCCUGGGGCUGAAGUAGGUCCCAAGGGUAUGGCUGUUCGCCAUUUAAAGUGGUACGCGAGCUGGGUUUAGAACGUCGUGAGACAGUUCGGUCCCUAUCUGCCGUGGGCGCUGGAGAACUGAGGGGGGCUGCUCCUAGUACGAGAGGACCGGAGUGGACGCAUCACUGGUGUUCGGGUUGUCAUGCCAAUGGCACUGCCCGGUAGCUAAAUGCGGAAGAGAUAAGUGCUGAAAGCAUCUAAGCACGAAACUUGCCCCGAGAUGAGUUCUCCCUGAGACUUUAGGUCUCCUGAAGGAACGUUGAAGACGACGACGUUGAUAGGCCGGGUGUGUAAGCGCAGCGAUGCGUUGAGCUAACCGGUACUAAUGAACCGUGAGGCUUAACCUUACAACGCCGAAG
rnacentral:rRNA from 1 species